GGACGAUUAGCUCAGCUGGUUAGAGCGCCGUCCUCACACGACGGAGGCCGGUGGUUCGAAUCCACCAUCGUCCA
rnacentral:tRNA from 1 species